CGCAUUAUACGGCGAAACUGCGAAUGGCUCAUUAAAUCAGUUAUCGUUUAUUUGAUAGUACCUUACUACUUGGAUAACCGUGGUAAUUCUAGAGCUAAUACAUGCUAAAAAUCCCGACUCACGAAGGGAUGUAUUUAUUAGAUUAAAAACCAAUGCCCCUCGGGGCUUUCUGGUGAUUCAUAAUAACUUCUCGAAUCGCAUGGCCUUGCGCCGGCGAUGGUUCAUUCAAAUUUCUGCCCUAUCAACUUUCGAUGGCAGGGUCUUGGCCUGCCAUGGUUACAACGGGUAACGGAGGGUUAGGGCUCGACCCCGGAGAAGGAGCCUGAGAAACGGCUACUACAUCCAAGGAAGGCAGCAGGCGCGCAAAUUACCCAAUCCCGACACGGGGAGGUAGUGACAAUAAAUACUGAUACAGGGCUCUUUUGGGUCUUGUAAUUGGAAUGAGUACAAUUUAAAUCCCUUAACGAGGAACAAUUGGAGGGCAAGUCUGGUGCCAGCAGCCGCGGUAAUUCCAGCUCCAAUAGCGUAUAUUAAAGUUGUUGCAGUUAAAAAGCUCGUAGUUGAACCUUGGGCCUGGCUGGCCGGUCCGCCUCACCGCGUGCACUGGUUCGGCCGGGCCUUUCCCUCUGGGGAGCCCUAUGCCCUUCACUGGGUGUAGUGGGGAACCAGGACUUUUACUGUGAAAAAAUUAGAGUGUUCAAAGCAGGCCUAUGCUCGAAUACAUCAGCAUGGAAUAAUAGAAUAGGACGUGUGGUUCUAUUUUGUUGGUUUCUAGGACCGCCGUAAUGAUUAAUAGGGACAGUCGGGGGCAUCAGUAUUCAAUUGUCAGAGGUGAAAUUCUUGCAUUUAUUGAAGAC
rnacentral:rRNA from 1 species